AUAGAAAAUACAAGGGUAAGAAGAGGAAUCAUGUGGAAGAAGAGUAAACAUCUGAUGGUGUCCUGGGUAGCUGAAACUGUGGAAAGCAAAACCGUGGAUAAGGGGGAACUACUAUACUGAAAAUGUACAAAACAGAGAAGAUUUCAUUGAAGAAGUCUGCUGUUUCUGGAAUGGGAAAUUAAGCACAACUGGAACAGUUAUCGACUGUGAUUCUUGCUGGGACCAAUAACCUUCUACAAAUACCAACAUCAGUUUUUAUGAAAGGCAAAGAGCUGACAGGUUUACAGACUGCACCCUAACAUUAAGCUACCAGGAGAAACUUCCAAGUUACCCUCUUGUUACUUGUGCCCCAGAGGUGAACACUAUAAACUGCUACAGCAUGCAAUUUAGGGAGAGGUUCGUGAAGAAGUGAUUGGGAAAGAGAGCAAGUCUUGGUUGGACAGUGUGAUUCAAUAGAAAUGUGAGGAGGAAAACUGCAAUUAUUUCUGAACCUUCCCAUCAGCCUUGUCUCUGAUAGAAUUGGCCUGUUGUGGACGGGCUUUGUGUAGAUUAGAGAAAGAAGAAGAUGCUCUUUUGGUGUAAUUGUUCAGUUCCACAUGGCCGGGGAGGCCUCACGAUCAUGGCAGAAGGCAAGGAGGAGCAAGUCACAUCUUAUGUGGAUGGCAGCAGGCAAAGAGAGAGCGAGCUUGUGCAAGGAGACUCCCAUUUUUAAAACCAUCAGAUCUCGUGAGACUUAUUCACUAUCAGGAGAACAGCAAGCUAAAUCAGUGUGAGACCAAGGACCCUGGGGCUCCUCCAGUCAUUGCAGCUGUAUCACAACUACCCUGACAGAUUUCUUGCUCAGGGCAAGCCACCUGCCAUGUCUUGAGAACACUCAAGCAGCACAUGGCGAGGAAUGGAGAUGGACAGACAUGGGCCAGCAAGAAACAGGCUUGCCAACAACAGCUUGCGUGAUCCUGAAAGUGGGUCCUCUAGCCCCAUGUGACUGUUGCCCUGGCCAACAACUUAACUGCAACCUCAAGAGAUACCUACCCUGAGUCAGAACCACCCAGUCAAACUACCCCUGGCAUCUUAACUCAGAGUAACUGUGAGAUAAUUACUGCCCCGUUGACUGGAGGAUGGCCAUUUGACAACACAUUAUUUCCUGAGGAAACUUUUGACUUCUGGUGACUUGGGCCCCAGGCUGGCUGAAUUUGCCAAGACCCGGCUUUGCCCUUGCAUGUGUGAAAAAUGGCCUCAAGUAUGACCCCAUGGCAAGAUGGAAAGAAACUGUGCUCUUGAAUAGCUUAGAGAUUCAGAGCCCCCCAACCAGCUUGAAACGCCCACCUCAAAACAAUGACAUGAGAAGAAACAAACCUCUAAUUUAAGCCACUGUCUUUUUAAGAGCAUUGUAGUUUGAGAUCUCUUUCUUUCAGCUGUUUAGUCCCCAGCUAAACACUUACUGACCUUAUCUUACAGGUCAAGAAAAAUGAAGUUCUGGGGUACAAGUCACUAAUGUAUUAGAAAUUUUCCAGCUCUCCCUCCUUGCCCAGCAGAGUAUAUUUCCACUCAAACACAAUGAACCCAUUUGGAAUGGGACAAAACAAAAUGGGGUGGGCCUGGAACAAGAGAAAGUUCAGCUACACAGGAUCCAGGUCAAAACUCUUUAAUCCUCCCAUUUCUGGAUUUCAAAUGAACACCUUUUUGUCUAGCAGUUCUCCUCCAGAGGUUUGCUUUCCCACAACAGCUUGUCAACAGUGUAAGAAGUUCAAAAAGAACUUUUGGGGUUGCACGUUGCAGGUUGUGUGGCAUCAUCCCAGCUUGUCUCAACACCUCUGAUGAACAGUAGCGGAAGAAAGGACUCUUUCCACAUGAGUUCCUCGGCGGUCCCCGUCUCUUAGGGAGUUUAUAAAAAAAUCCAUCAUCUUGUUCUACUAAACCCAAGUAAAUAUAAUUAACACCAA
ensembl:lncRNA LINC02889 long intergenic non-protein coding RNA 2889